rnacentral:lncRNA from 1 species
ACGUUCAAAAGGCCUCCGUGUCGUGUCGGACACCCCGCCACGCUCGGACACGUUCGGACACGCUCGGAUACGCGGUCAACGCGUGGUCAACUUUUUUCGACACGCGCGUCGGAGCGUGUCCGGAUGGCGGAUCUGCAGGUGCGAAGGAAGAAGGUGAUGGAGGGUGGAGGCAAGGGUGAGGGAGCCGUCGCUCACGCGAGGGAGGGCUGCGACCACCGACUGCAACGCCGGAGAAGGCUGCGACUGCCGACUGCGCCGAGAAGCCUUCUUGAUCGUCUUGGUCGGUUGCGACCGCCGACUGCAACGCCGAGAUGAAAAACCGCAACACCGCGAUGGAGGGCUGGACGCGAGGCUUCGACGGCAAAGGGAAGAACGGAGGCGAGGCAGCGGCGAGAGAGGUGGAGACGUCAAACCGAGCAAAGGAGAGGAAAAAUAUGGUGAUUGCUAGGGUUUUUGCCCUUUGGGCUGUUUUUAGGGAGAAGAGAAAGGAGAGAGACGAGGCGUCGACGGCUUCCGGGGAAAAGAAAAUCUCGUGCAGGGGAAGCGACAGGCGCAGGUGCAGGGGAAGUGACA